AACUCCAGUUUGCGGAGGUUGGACUUGGAGAUGGACGUCCUGGCUGUGACGUCGAGGUGGGGCAGGUCGGAGCCACGGCUCGCGGCUGGCAGGGGGGUGGCCUAGGCCACCGUAGUCGUAGGCAGGCUCCGGGCGCCUCCAAACGUGCUUACUCUCCUGAGCGCCCAAACGCUGGAUUUCUUGGACCCCACUGAGUUGUUGCCUGUCAUCCUGCUGAGCCCUUGGAAAGGAAGAGCAGUCUGGGCUGAAAGGAGCCCAGAGCUGGAGGCCACGUUCUCUCGUUCCACUUGUCCCUUUGAGGAGACCAGAAACCGUGCUGCAUUCCCUUGGGGACACUGUGUGUUGUCCCAGCAAAUAUCCAUGUGGCGUUCUCCAUCCCAGGCCCUGUUUCUUUAACGGUGGGAACCACCCCUUGUUCCAGGCCUUGAACUUUGCCGGCCAAAUGAAAUGACCCCAUUUUUCUGUCUUUUUCCCUUCUCCCUCUUCUUGUCCCUUCCCCGUAACUCCCGUUUGGGGGAGGGCACCAGAGGUCCUUUGGGAUGAACCUACUGUGGGGACAUCCCGCCUCUCAGUCUGCUCCAGGCCAGGCGAAGCACAGCCAGCGCCAGCUUGCUCCCCAGGCCUCACGGCCUGUAUUCCAGGCAAAGCCUGGAGCAGGAAAGCGGACAUGGUCCAGCCCGUGAUGGUCUCUACUCAAGGUGGCUGCGCCCCCAGGCAUGGUCUCCCUGGGGACAAGCGGCCAUGGAGCAAGAGCUUUUGAUCCUCCUUAGUCUGUACACAGAGCGAGUAGGGUGUGCUUGGUGCAGGACGCAGUGGGGCUGGCCCUGAGAAAGGAGACCAGCCCCUGCCUGGGGCCGGCAGGGUGCCCACAGGACCCCCGGGCCUCUGUCUCAAAGUCCGCUUGGAGCCCUUUGCCGACUCGCAGCCUGGAGUCCUGCUGUCGGAGGCCCCGGACAGGUCUGACGCCUGUGCCCUUGGCCCUUCCCCUUUGUGCUGGAACUUUGCUCAUUGUUCCACCAGGAGAAAACCUCUGCCUGUGGCCCAGGGAAUGAGGGGGAGGAGGAGGUGCAGUGGUCGACUCUGUGGUCUGCGUGAUGCAUGACCACGGGCGGGUGCCAGCCCUGGGAGCUGGGGCCGGCCAGCGGGUCGCUGCUCCAGAGGCACGUGUUGGUUUGCCCGCCCUUCCAAAGCCUUGUCCCGUCAGAUGCGCCCCGUGCGGCGCCACGGCUGAAUAGGCAAGGGCUCCCGCGGGAGGGGACUUGGUGACCGGGAGUGUGGCCUUGGGAGUGCUACCACCACGCCCCCUGGGACAUAAUGGGAGUCAGACCCUUCUGGCCAAGACUGAGGGCCUCUUUCUCCCAGGAACCGGACCUUGCCAAGGCCACCAGCCCAGGUGGCCCAAGUGAGUGCCACACUCAGGGAUCGCUUGAGAGGGGCUAGUGUCCAGGUGGAGCACGGUCUCCGUGGUCAGGUCCCCAGCUCCCUGUGAAACCCCUGGCCACUCCAAGCUGGCAAAGGACCAUUUCCAGAGACCCCAGGACAGGCAGGGCCGCCCUCUCCCCUGCCCGGAGCCAGGCGGGCCCCACCAGCCUGCUGAGCUGGUCCUCCGUGCAGGAGCCCGCAGUUGCCCCCGUGCUGGCUUCGAGGGCCACUGCAGAGCCUGGAGGUUCCCGGGGUCCCUGCACCUGAUGAGCGUGCGUGGCCGCCGAGCAGGCCUCUGCCUGCCGCAGCCAAACCUUUUCCACACGGAGCCUAGUUGUAUUUUGGAUUUUUACACGAGAGUCCGCCUUUCACCUCCCGCACAGACAGACAGAUGUAUGCGUGGACGGACAGACAGACAGACGGACGAGACGGGCAGAGAUCCAUGAAGGACAGGCUCUGUGCGUGGCCUCCCAGUCUGUUUCCUCCGCCGCCUGGGUGCUGGGGUGCGAGGGGCGCCGUCAGAGGGGCUGGCGGUCUGGGCACGGCCGCCUUGGAGGGAGGGUGGAUGCACACAGCUCGCCUGGCUCCGCCGGACCCACGGGUGCUCAGAGGGCUUUGGUACCGCACCGGGGUUGGCGGGGAGGUGGCCAGGGCCCACGGGAUCCUCUCGGAGUAAACAGUCAGCUCCCGUCAGGUGUCACGGACGCCCCAGAACCUGCACCCUUGGCUGCAAGAUUUCUUUGAGGUUUGAGGUCUGAAGGGAGGCGGGGAGGCCGGCCCUCCGAGGGUCUCCUGAGCCUGGAAGCGCUGGCGGCUGCCCCAUCUCGUCCCUCUGGGCCCCGACAGCUCCUGAGUCCGCAGUCAGCAGGGUGCGCACAUGCAGAGGGGCCUCGAGACCCAGGGGUGGGCCGGCGGCCAGAGAUGAGCAGGGAUGGACGGUCUCGGGGCCUGGGCCGUGGCCCCGAGCCAACGUAAAGAAGUGGCGUGAGAAGCACGCAGACGGUCCUGCGCUUGCGUGAGGGCAAGAUGGCCAGUGGGGCAGGGACCGAAAGUGGCUGCCCCUUUCUGCACCCCGCGUUCUUCCUCCUCAUCCCCAACCCGUGUUCGUCAGCCUCUGCGCCCGGGGCUGCAGCGCUCACCCCGCACAGUCCCCGGGCCCCAGGCCCCCUGCUCCCAGAGCCCCUCAGUGGUCAGCCAGCCACACCGGGACACUGGAGCACCGCACGCAGACCAGUCCUGUGGGCUGGGGCGCUGAAAUGGGCAGAUGCUAGAAGAGUUCAGGUGGGCCCCUCCGGGAAGGGCCGUGCUGGCUCGUCCUGCUGGGCUGCAGGGCCUUUGAGGAAAUCCUCAGAGACAGAGGCUGCGUCCGCGGACGUGGACACCGGGCAGCACUGCGUACGUUUCAGGUUACUCGCGGUCCUGUAGGAGGUAUCAAGGCUUCGAACCGGGUUUCUAAGACUUAGUAUUUCCCAGGAAGAGCUUUUCGGGGGCAGGGGCGUGGACGGCACACAGCAGCUGCUUCGCUGCUUCACUGCUUCUCUGCAGCGCUGCCGGAUCUCCCAGCGCUGCCUUCCGUCCCCUCCCGGGGCGGCGAGGGCCGCCUGCAGAGAAGGGGGCCUUGACCAGGGCGAGAGAGACGCACCAUCGGAUUCUGGGCUGCACGCCCCGGAGGGCCCCCUCAGACUCAUCCCGGCCCCAAGGUAGGGCCUGCAGGCCGUGCUCACCGUGCACGGCACCCUCGCGCUGCAUGGGGGCCGUGAAACAGCAAGGCCAGGGGGAGGCCCUGGGGCGCGGGCUUUCUUCCCCGAGGCCGUUUUCAAAGUCCGAGAGCCUGGCCUUUGGAGAAGCUGAGGCAGCGAGAGUUUUCAAGGCGUGGUCCCGAGAGCAGGGAGCUGCCUGGCAGCCCCCAUGGGUCUUUGGCCGAGCGCUGCUGGCCCGUCCACAGUGUGAGACUGUAGGGCUGGCCCGCGAACCUUCUACGUAGCCGACGGCUGCCGAGGGGCUGUGCGGUGAGUGGUUGCCAGACUCGCCAGGGCUGGCUCUGCGGUGGCUGAGUCCUCACGGCCAGAGCUUCACAGGGAGCUCACCACCGCCGGAGCCGGGAAGUGGGGCUUAGGGACAAGCCUUCGGCAAGGACCAGGCCCAUCUUUCCUCUCUGAAAGGCGGACACCCCAACCCAGACACAACGUGGCCAAGUUCCUCGUGUCCGGAUCCAGUCAAAACCCGCGGUUGAGCCAAGGGGCAGGGCCCAAGGGCCAAGAAGGGAAGAGCCCCCGCGGCAGCGCCGGGCCUGCCGGUCUCUGGCUUGGCCGGAAGGACAUUGCGAAGGUGCCCCGCGGGCUCGAGGCGGAGGGCCAAGAGAGAAACGGAGAAACGGAAGCUGCUAGGAGGAAGGAACGUGAACGAAACGCCUCUGGGAUGCGGCUCCUGUGCAGAAGAAUUCCCGGGGAGGCGCUGUGUCACUGCCCCUUCAGAGGGCGGCUCUGGCGGCUUCCUUCCACGGAGCUCAGGCUGGGGGGCAGUGACCGAACGGAGGAGGCUCCUGAAGGCCCCGGCCAGCAGCAUGGAGUCACCCUGACAGCUGUGAUGGAAGGGCCACGCCACCUGCAAACACUGACACAACCCCAGCGAACGCUACGGAAAAAACAGCAGGCAAAUCCAUGUUGAGUAACUUCCUGCACGGUAGCAGACCAGACUCCUCAAAGCCAUCGGGUGGUCAGAAACCAGAAAGGCCCAAGAGACGUGAAAGGAGUAGCCUGGGGGGUGACCUGGAGCAGAAGGACCCUAUGUAAAAUCUAAAGAAAUCUGAGCAGAGUGGGGACUUUAGUUAACACUGGUCUGUGUGGAGCUCAGUGGCUCGAGGAUCUGACAUUGCCCACAGCUGUGCCAUAGGUUGCAGCUGCAGCUUGGAUUCAGUCUCUGGCCUAGGAACUUCCACAAGCCACAAAAAAGAUGAUAAAUAAGUAGAUAAAGCCUGUGGAUUGACUGCUGAAGCACUUGCACUAAGGCAGGGCCGUGGGGAGUCCGGGUGUGGGGUAACUGGGGGUGCCCUGUUGUCCCAACUUUGCUGUAAACUCAGCAUAGUUCUAAAAGGCUUUUUUCCUCCUUUUUUGGCCGCCCCGUGGCAUAUGGAGUUCCUAAGCCAGGGGUCAGAUCUGAGCCACAGUUGCCACCUAUGCCACAGCUGUGGCAACACCGGAUCCUUAACCCAUUGUGCUAGGCCAGGGAUCGAACCUGCAUCCCAACCUUCCCAAGACGCUGCCGAUCCCGUUACCCCACAGCAGGAACUCCUAGAAGCUUGUUUUUAUCAGUCCCUGGAGGGGAUUAAACGGUCAGCUAGAGACUGAGGAAGAACAAAUCACGGAACCAGCCCAAGCAAGGAAGGCACCACGGCGGCCCCAAAUCGGCGGAGCCCUGGGGGUGCUCCCACGAGGCCAUCGCAAGUCCGGGAGUGAGGAACGGGGGGCUGCAGAAAGGACGGUCGAAAUUUUCCCUCGCGCUGGGAUGGGGGUGCGAAAGCUGUAAACCCACAGAUCCGAGAGUUUGAGUGACUCCCAAGGAGGAUAAAGCACAGAAAAAGACGCCAACACAUCCCGCUAUCAAAUUGCUGCAAACCAAUGAUGAGCAAAUCUGAAAAGCCACCAGAAGGGAGCUCCUCGGUGGCUCAGUGGGUUCGGGACCCGGCGUUGCCAUGGGGCAGCCCAGGUCGCUGCUGUGGCACAGGUUCAGUCCCUGGCCUGGGAGUACCCACUUGCCGGAGGCACUGCCAAACGGCAGCAGCGACAACAGCAACGGCACCCAGAAGAAAGGAAACUGCACACGGAAGGGCGAAGAGCAACGCUGACUUCCCAUCAGAGGCGUGAGGCCCGGGACGGGGAGGGGCUGCAGUCAGCGCCCAAGCCUGCUGUAACGCUGCCACCUCGCAGGGUCGAGAAACACCGUGACUCAUCUCAGCAGAGGUGGGAGCAGUUGACGAGACGCAACAUCCAUUUCAUGAUGAAAGCUUGCCAGACUAGGACGGGAAAUUCUUCAAUCUAAUGAAAAGCUUCAACAAC
ensembl:lncRNA